AUGAACCAGCCGGUGCAGAAGAACACCCUCUACGUAGGUGGGCUGGCGGAGGAGGUGGACGAGAAGAUCCUGCACGCGGCGUUCGUGCCGUUCGGGGAGGUCAAGGACGUCAAGACGCCGCUCGACCAGGCCACGCAGAAGCACCGCUCCUUCGGCUUCGUCACGUUCCUCGAGCGCGAGGACGCCGCCGCCGCCAUGGACAACAUGGACGGCGCCGAGCUCUUCGGCCGCGUCCUCACCGUCAACUACGCCUUCCCCGAGAAAAUCAAGGGAGGGGAGCAGGGAUGGGCCGCGCAGCCAGUUUGGGCGGAUGCGGAUACUUGGUUCGAGAGGCAGCAGCAAGAAGAGGAAAUGAAGCGCCUUCAGACAGAGCAGAAUGCAGCAAUGAAAGAAGCGGAAAGGCUUCACAGGGAGAAAAUAGCCGCAGAAAAGAACGGGGAAACGGAUGAAGCAGAUCCCAUGGCUGUGGCGGAAGCUCAGGCCGUGAACUAG
rnacentral:rRNA from 1 species